ensembl:lncRNA
ACAUAGGACAGAACAUCUGACAUUAGAGCAGAACAUCUGACCUAGAGCAGAACAUCUGACAUUAGAGCAGAACAUCUGGCUCUGUAUGUUCACAGUCAUGUGCUAUCGUUAAUUGAUUGAUAUUGAUUGACAGUAACAAUCAGUAUCAGUAUCAAACUGGCACCCUGCUGGUCUGAGGGCCACCAGCUGUGUGUGUGUCUGUGUGUGUGUGUGUUUGUCUGAGUACAUUCCUCCAUUAGCAAUGAGUGUGUGUGUUCAUGUGUGUGUUAUGGUAAAGCAGCCCACCUAAAAACAAGUGUCAUCUCCUGUAGGUCUGCUACACACACACACACACACACACACACACACACACACACACACACAGACGUUCGGUGCUGAUUAAUCAUGUCUGGAGGAUUUACAGGUGUUGACACACACCCGCACACUGUGGCCUCACACACAAACACACACGCUUCCUUUCAUGGUCAUCGUUAACGUGGAAAAGUCCCUGUAAGCGACGACGUCAUCCUCUGUCAGGCUGGUGAGCGAUGUCUGAUGCUAACGUUAGCUCAGCAGAGUGUUUCAGUGUCUCUCAUUGUCUCAUUGGACUGGAUGACAAGACAAAAAGCACAAGGGAGACACACGACUCAACCACUGAUACGACGUGUCGUUCAGUCUGGACAUUAAUCCUCUAUGAAGGAUGUUAGUGGUGAUAAAGCGUCUCCGGCUUGGUGCUUUUAUGAAAGUCUUAUUAUUGCGCCAGAUGUUGAUAAAUAACUGAAUUAUUUUGUUUUUUACUCUUUAAAUGAAUAAAACAGGACCUUCACCUGCCGACUGGUCGAGGAGAGCGGCGCAGACAGGAAGUGAUGUCGUGACUUCUGUGUGUCAUCAGAUGAGUGAGAUCUCAUCAACGUGCCUCCACCUCGCUGGUGCCGGCAGAUGUAAGUCCAGGUGUGUGAUCGCCGCGGUUACUCAUCAAACACGCACUGGGACAGGAAGUCCGCCUCGUGUGUGAGAACAUGAAAAAUGAAUAAAAGAAAAAGAUGAACAAUUUGUACGACAGAAAUGAUUCAAACAAGUAAACCAGAUGUAGACAGGACCACUUCACAUCACAUAGAACCACAUCACAUAGAACCGCCAUCACCACCAUCACAUAGAACCGCCAUCACCACCAUCACAUAGAACCACCAUCACAAAUAACCACCAUCACAUAGAAACACCAUCACAUAGAACAACCAUCACAUAGAACCGCCAUCACAUAGAACCACCAUCACAGAACAACCAUCACAUAGAACCACCAUCACAUAGAACCACCAUCACAUAGAACCGCCAGCACAUAGAACAACCAUCACAUAGCACAACCAUCACAUAGAACCGCCAUCACAUAGAACCACCAUCACAUAGAACCGCCAUCACAUAGAACCACCAUCACAUAGAACCGCCAUGACCACCAUCACAUAGAACCACCAUCACAGAACCACCAUCACAUAGAACCACCAUCACAUAGAACCGCCAGCACAUAGAAUCACCGCCACAUAGAACCAUCAUCACAUAGAACCACCAUCACAUAGAACCGCCAUCACAUAUAACCGCCAUCACAUAGAGCCGCCAUCACAUAGAA